UACGAAGGGGGGCUAGCGUUGCUCGGAAUCACUGGGCGUAAAGCGCACGUAGGCGGCUUUCUAAGUCAGGGGUGAAAUCCUGGAGCUCAACUCCAGAACUGCCUUUGAUACUGGAGAGCUUGAGUCCGGAAGAGGUGAGUGGAACUCCGAGUGUAGAGGUGAAAUUCGUAGAUAUUCGGAAGAACACCAGUGGCGAAGGCGGCUCACUGGUCCGGUACUGACGCUGAGGUGCGAAAGCGUGGGGGAGCAAACAGG
rnacentral:rRNA from 1 species